AUUGAACGCUGGCGGCAUGCCUAACACAUGCAAGUCGAACGGCAGCACAGCAGUAGCAAUACUGUGGGUGGCGAGUGGCGGACGGGUGAGGAAUGCGUCGGAAUCUGCCCAGUUGUGGGGGAUAACUAGCCGAAAGGUUAGCUAAUACCGCAUGAGACCGAGAGGUGAAAGCGGGGGACUCGUAAGGGCCUCGCGCGAUUGGAUGAGCCGACGCCGGAUUAGCUUGUUGGUAGGGUAAAGGCCUACCAAGGCGACGAUCCGUAGCUGGUCUGAGAGGAUGAUCAGCCACACUGGAACUGAGACACGGUCCAGACUCCUACGGGAGGCAGCAGUGGGGAAUAUUGGACAAUGGGCGCAAGCCUGAUCCAGCAAUGCCGCGUGUGUGAAGAAGGCCUUCGGGUUGUAAAGCACUUUUGUCCGGAACGAAAAGCGAUGGAUUAAUACUCUGUCGUGCUGACGGUACCGGGUGAAUAAGCACCGGCUAACUUCGUGCCAGCCGCCGCUGUAAUAC
rnacentral:rRNA from 1 species